UGCGCAGGCGGAACUUUAAGUCAGUGGUGAAAUCUUGCCGCUUAACGGUAAAAUUGCCAUUGAUACUGAAGUUCUUGAAUAUGGUUGAGGUAGGCGGAAUGUGUUGUGUAGCGGUGAAAUGCAUAGAUAUGACACAGAACGCCAAUUGCGAAGGCAGCUUACUAAGCCAUUAUUGACGCUGAGGCACGAAAGCGUGGGGAGCGAACAGGAUUAGAUACCCGAGUAGUCC
rnacentral:rRNA from 1 species